rnacentral:rRNA from 1 species
GUGAGGAAUAUUGGACAAUGGGCGCAAGCCUGAUCCAGCCAUGCCGCGUGCAGGAAGACGCAUCUAUGGUGUGUAAACUGCUUUUGUACGGGAAGAAACACUCCCUCGUGAGGGAGCUUGACGGUACCGUAAGAAUAAGGAUCGGCUAACUCCGUGCCAGCAGCCGCGGUAAUACGGAGGAUCCAAGCGUAUCCGGAAUCAUUGGGUUUAAAGGGUCCGUAGGCGGUUUAAUAAGUCAGUGGUGAAAGCCCAUCGCUCAACGAUGGAACGGCCAUUGAUACUGUUAGACUUGAAUUACAAGGAAGUAACUAGAAUAUGUAGUGUAGCGGUGAAAUGCUUAGAUAUUACAUGGAAUACCAAUUGCGAAGGCAGGUUACUACUUGUGGAUUGACGCUGAUGGACGAAAGCGUGGGGAGCGAACAGGAUUAGAAACCCGGGUAGUCC